rfam:Oryza brachyantha chromosome 1, whole genome shotgun sequence.
AAUAACCUCGUUUUUCGUUUUUUCGUGUCUAACGUUUGACCAUUCGUUUUAUUUGAAAAAUUUAUUUAAAAACUUAAAAAGAUUAGUCACGUAUAAAUUACUAUUAAUAUUUUAUCAUCUAGUAAUACAUAUUAAUCAAAAAAAAUUCAAAUAAGACGAAUGGUCAAAUGUUAGACACGGAAAAAC